UAUCGGUAUUAUAAAAGGGGU
rnacentral:piRNA from 1 species